rnacentral:rRNA from 1 species
AACGAACGCUGGCGGCAGGCCUAACACAUGCAAGUCGAACGCUGUAGCAAUACAGAGUGGCUGACGGGUGAGUAACGCGUGGGAACAUGCCCUUCGGUUCGGAAUAACUCAGGGAAACUUGAGCUAAUACCGGAUACGCCCUUAGGGGGAAAGAUUUAUUGCCGAAGGAUUGGCCCGCGUCCGAUUAGCUAGUUGGUGAGGUAAUGGCUCACCAAGGCGACGAUCGGUAGCUGGUCUGAGAGGAUGAUCAGCCACACUGGGACUGAGACACGGCCCAGACUCCUACGGGAGGCAGCAGUGGGGAAUAUUGGACAAUGGGCGCAAGCCUGAUCCAGCCAUGCCGCGUGAGUGAUGAAGGCCCUAGGGUUGUAAAGCUCUUUCGCCAGGGACGAUAAUGACGGUACCUGGAUAAGAAGCUCCGGCUAACUUCGUGCCAGCAGCCGCGGUAAGAC